rnacentral:rRNA from 1 species
GACGAACGCUGGCGGCGUGCUUAACACAUGCAAGUCGAACGGUAAGGCCCUUCGGGGUACACGAGUGGCGAACGGGUGAGUAACACGUGGGUGAUCUGCCCUGCACUUCGGGAUAAGCCUGGGAAACUGGGUCUAAUACCGGAUAGGACUCCUGGCUUCAUGGUUGGGGGUGGAAAGCUUUUGCGGUGUGGGAUGGGACCGCGGCCUACCAGCUUGUUGGUGGGGUAAUGGCCUACCAAGGCGACGACGGGUAGCCGGCCUGAGAGGGUGACCGGUCACACUGGGACUGAGAUACGGCCCAGACUCCUACGGGAGGCAGCAGUGGGGAAUAUUGCACAAUGGGCGCAAGCCUGAUGCAGCGACGCCGCGUGAGGGAUGACGGCCUUCGGGUUGUAAACCUCUUUCAGCUAUGACGAAGCGCAAGUGACGGUAGUAGCAGAAGAAGGACCGGCCAACUACGUGCCAGCCGCCGCUGUAAGAC